rnacentral:rRNA from 1 species
GACGAACGCUGGCGGCGUGCUUAACACAUGCAAGUCGAACGAUGAAGAAGAGAAACGCGAACUUCGGUUCAAAUUUCACUUCGGAUUAGUGGCAGACGGGUGAGUAACGCGUGAGCAACCUACCUCUUACAAAGGGAUAGCCUCGGGAAACCGUGAUUAAUACCAUAUGACACAUUCAUAAGGCAUCUUAAGAAUGUUAAAGCUACGGCGGUAAGAGAUGGGCUCGCGUCCCAUUAGCUAGUUGGUGAGGUAACGGCCCACCAAGGCGACGAUGGGUAACCGGCCUGAGAGGGUGAACGGUCACAUUGGAACUGAGACACGGUCCGAACUCCUACGGGAGGCAGCAGUGGGGAAUAUUGCACAAUGGAGGGAACUCUGAUGCGGCGACGCCGCGUGAGCGAUGAAGGAAUUCGUUUCGUAAAGCUCUGUUCUAUGGGAAGAAAAGGACUGUACCAUAGGAGAAAGCCCCGGCUAAAUACGUG